rnacentral:pre_miRNA from 1 species
ACAGGUCGCCUUCUCCAUUGGAGAGGACGACCAGUCCGGUCGUCCUCUCCAGUGGAGAAGGCGACCAGA